GAUCACGAACACAUGUGAAAAUAUUGCGUACUAAAAAUUUAUAAAAAGUAAAACUCUAAACCCAAACAUCUCUUCAAAGAUAAUCUUUAAAAAUUAUUUUUGCUUCAUUAUUUUUUAACAUCAGACUAUUAUAAACCUUUUGUUCAAUGUUACAUAAUAUUCACUCUGUAGCAUCUUAUUCAAUCAUAGCUAAGAAGGCAAGAGUACUGGAGUGAAAGAGACUACUAUAAUAUUAUAAAUCUAUUAUAUUGCCUUUGCUCCUUUGUCAAGGACCAGUUGACUGUACUUACAUGGGUGUGUUUCUGAUUUUUCUAUUCCCUUGGCCUAUUUUUUUUUGCCAAUACCACACUUUUUUUUUUAUUACUGUAACUUCUUGAAAUGCAAGUAUAAUGGAUACUGGAGUUUUGACAUCUCUCUGGGAUUAUGAAUUAAGUUUUAAGAUGCAAGCCAUAUUGAUAGAGCAAAAAGAAGAUCUUAUGAAAGAUGCUUAAAUAUACAUUCUCUCAGUACUUCCUAAACUUCAUUCAUUGCCUACUAGCAAAAUUUUUGCACCAGAACUAUCAUGGUGCUAUUUUUCUAUUUUAAAAAAACAAAUAGAGCAAAACAAAAUUCAACAAUGUGUAUGGAAACUGGGUAUAUGAAAAUCUUCACUAAUGGCACACAUCAUGUUUAUUCUUCACAUCUGAAGUUAUUCUAAAUGUUUCAUUUUUUAAGGUUUGAGUUAUUCAUAGGCAUAUCCAAAUUCUAUGCCUGCAAUUUGUGCUAUCUAAACUAGAUUCCCAUAGGUCCACCCACUUUAGCUCCAACUAACAUAAUAAUAACUAGCAUGUUUUACAUGUAAAACUGGCACUAUAUAUAUAUAUACAUACAUAUAUAUAUAUAUACACACUAUGAAUAAAACAGUUGAAAAUAUUCUCACAAAGUUAUCUCAAGUGUACAUAAGGUAACUAAAAAUUUCAAUCUACCUAGGUCUGGGGGAUUUCUAGGACAUAGAACUUUUGAUGCUAAAAUUGGAAUAGUUUCAGACAAACCAGGAUUGUUGGUCACACUACAAGUCUAUAAUAUAUUUAGGGAAACAUGGCAUUAUCUCAUAUAAUAUUCUAUCAGCUACCUAGUUAGAUAUAAUUAUCCCUCUUCUAAAGAUGAGAAUCCAGGUACAAUGUGUAUGUGGUAAUAUGGCCACUAUUAAAUACUGAUAUCUAGGUCUGGCUGGCUUUAAAAUAGCUGAGAAUAAACCAAUUCUCACUUAAUAUCUUACAGGAAAAUCAAUUUUGACAAUGUGUGUUACUCAAACUCUAGCAAGAAACUGUGGGGCUGUCCAGUCCCACCUUAGAUUCCUCUUAAAGGGUUUAGAACACCACAGAGAGCCUUGCGUGAGUUCAGGGACAUAGUCUUCUGGCCCACCAUAAGGAUGCCACCCUGUCUUCCCCCUUGCCCUGUGUUCCUUGUCCGUGUUGUCACUGUCGGCCACCUCACUUCGGCCCCCUUCUACUCUAGCCCUAUUCAAGUGGCCCUCUCUCAACUGCUGAGUGUUUUCAUCUUGCAGAUAUUUUAGUAAGAUAUGAUUUUAUUGUAAAACCUUCCCUAGCUGGGUUCUUUGUAGGAAAAUUUGGGAAGAUCAGAGCUAGAUGGUAAAAUAAACAGAAAUAUUCAUCUUGCUAUGGACUAAAUAUUUGUGUUUCCCCAAAUUCAAGUGUUGAAACAUAAAACCCAAUGUAUUGCUUUUAGGAGAUGGGGCCUUUGGGAGGCACUUUAGGUCAUGAGGGUGGAGCCUUCAUAAAAGAGAUGAAUGCCUUUAUGAAAGAGACCCUCAGAGAAAGCCUUGCCCCUUAUGCCAUGUGAGGUUAUAGUGAGAAGGCACCAUCUAUAAACCAGUAAGUGGGCUCUCACCAGACAGUGAAUCUGCUUGAGACUUGAUCUUGAGCUUCCCAACUUCUAGAACUGGGAGAUGUAAAUUUCUGUUGUUAAUAAGCCACCUAGUCUAUGGUAUUUGUUACAGCAGCCCAAACAAACCAAGACAACUUAAAUAUUUUCAGAAUAUUUCUUCCUCUUCUCAUUUUUCUUGAACGAGUAUCCUUUCAACUUUCUUGCCUAAAAUGAAGUCUGCCUUUCCUUCCAAGAUCUUUUUUCAUAUGCACAGACAUAUGGCAGAUCUGUUUCACUGGCUUUCCAGAUUUUGCCAGAUAAUGUGCUUUAGAUAACUUGAAAUGCUGCUGGUCCAAAUUGAGAUGUACUGGAAAUGUAAAAUACACAUAGGAUUUUUAAGAUUUAG
ensembl:lncRNA